AUUGAACGCUGGCGGCAUGCCUUACACAUGCAAGUCGAACGGCAGCACGGAGCUUGCUCUGGUGGCGAGUGGCGAACGGGUGAGUAAUAUAUCGGAACGUACCCUAGAGUGGGGGAUAACGUAGCGAAAGUUACGCUAAUACCGCAUACGAUCUAAGGAUGAAAGUGGGGGAUCGCAAGACCUCAUGCUCGUGGAGCGGCCGAUAUCUGAUUAGCUAGUUGGUAGGGUAAAAGCCUACCAAGGCAUCGAUCAGUAGCUGGUCUGAGAGGACGACCAGCCACACUGGAACUGAGACACGGUCCAGACUCCUACGGGAGGCAGCAGUGGGGAAUUUUGGACAAUGGGCGAAAGCCUGAUCCAGCAAUGCCGCGUGAGUGAAGAAGGCCUUCGGGUUGUAAAGCUCUUUUGUCAGGGAAGAGACGGUGAAGGCUAAUAUCCUUUGCUAAUGACGGUACCUGAAGAAUAAGCACCGGCUAACUACGUGCCAGCAGCCGCGGUAAUACGUAGGGUGCAAGCGUUAAUCGGAAUUACUGGGCGUAAAGCGUGCGCAGGCGGUUUUGUAAGUCUGAUGUGAAAUCCCCGGGCUCAACCUGGGAAUUGCAUUGGAGACUGCAAGGCUAGAAUCUGGCAGAGGGGGGUAGAAUUCCACGUGUAGCAGGUGAAAUGCGUAGAUAUGUGGAGGAACACCGAUGGCGAAGGCAGCCCCCUGGGUCAAGAUUGACGCUCAUGCACGAAAGCGUGGGGAGCAAACAGGAUUAGAUACCCUGGUAGUCCACGCCCUAAACGAUGUCUACUAGUUGUCGGGUCUUAAUUGACUUGGUAACGCAGCUAACGCGUGGAGUAGACCGCCUGGGGAGUACGGUCGCAAGAUUAAAACUCAAAGGAAUUGACGGGGACCCGCACAAGCGGUGGAUGAUGUGGAUUAAUUCGAUGCAACGCGAAAAACCUUACCUACCCUUGACAUGGCUGGAAUCCUCGAGAGAUUGGGGAGUGCUCGAAAGAGAACCAGUACACAGGUGCUGCAUGGCUGUCGUCAGCUCGUGUCGUGAGAUGUUGGGUUAAGUCCCGCAACGAGCGCAACCCUUGUCAUUAGUUGCUACGAAAGGGCACUCUAAUGAGACUGCCGGUGACAAACCGGAGGAAGGUGGGGAUGACGUCAAGUCCUCAUGGCCCUUAUGGGUAGGGCUUCACACGUCAUACAAUGGUACAUACAGAGCGCCGCCAACCCGCGAGGGGGAGCUAAUCGCAGAAAGUGUAUCGUAGUCCGGAUUGUAGUCUGCAACUCGACUGCAUGAAGUUGGAAUCGCUAGUAAUCGCGGAUCAGCAUGUCGCGGUGAAUACGUUCCGGGGUCU
rnacentral:rRNA from 1 species